rnacentral:rRNA from 1 species
UACGGGGGGGGCAAGCGUUGUUCGGAAUUACUGGGCGUAAAGGGCGUGAAGGCGGCCAACUAAGUCAGACGUGAAAUCCCUAGGCUCAACCUAGGAACUGCGUCUGAUACUGGAUGGCUUGAAUUCGGGAGAGGGAUGCAGAAUUCCAGGUGUAGCGGUGAAAUUCGUAGAUAUCGAGAGGAACACCGGUGGCGAAGGCGGCCAACUGGACGAAUACUGACGCUGAGACACGAAAGCGUGGGGAGCAAACAGG